GGAGAGGUAGCAUAGUCCGGCCUAAUGCGCUCGCCUGGAACGCGAGUAGGGUUAACUGCCCUCGUGGGUUCGAAUCCCACCCUCUCCG
rnacentral:tRNA from 1 species